UUGGUGGGGCCGUAUUAAAAACAUUUUACCCAUGUCUGGUCUAGUCAUGUGAACUACACUACUGCACUCUCAAGUUAUUCACUUAAUAAGCAAUUCAUGCUUGUCAAAUUAGAUAAUUUAGGACACACUAUCACCAAGAGACCCUGUCAGGGUUUUCCAAACUAUCUUGAUCUAUGAUUAUGUUGGAAUGUAUAUAACCGGUAAUAAAUAACUUAGGUAGAUUAGUUUUAUGCUUACGUUGGUAUGUAACCGGUAAUAAACCACCUAACUCUGUCCCAUCCUAAAUAAUGUCGUAAAACAUCCCCUGCUCUGUUUACCUAGAGGUCAAGAGCUUUAACUUGUUUAUUCAGUCUACUGUCACCCCCACCCUUUUCCUCUUAAUAAAGAUGCUCUUGUGGGAAGGGAGAGUUAGACUUCAUUCGACCAUCGCUGUGACAACAGCGACGAGUGAACUCUCCACCUGCAGGUGCCCAAAACGACUAACUUGUCUCCGAGUGGUUCUUGCAAAAUAAGUUAGAGUGAGCACCACUCUAACAUUUUGGUGCCGAAACCCGGGACCCUCAUACCCGCCAUCUGACUGACGGAGGAAGACGUGCUGUGCUGCAUUGUCGACAAGCCAGCGUCCAUUAGGAGGACCUGGAAAAGAAAGUCCUGGGAAGAGAACUUCUUCGCUGGGCCAGCAUCUUAUGUCUGCCUUCGUCUGACAGAGGUGGUUGACGGGACCCGGAAAUGCAACGAACCAGGGGACAAGUCGACAACCCCAUCAAUCCAGGAGACUGGGUCUACAUCAAGGUCAUCAAAAGAAGGAACUGGGCCAGCCAUGGUGGGAGGGACCAUUCCAAGUCUUGCUGACUACCCCCCUCCGCAGUGAAGAUCGCUGAACAACCCAACUGGAUUCACCUUAGCCACUGCAAGCUACGAGGAGUGCUGGACCCCUCAUUUCGGGACGGUGACAAAGUCUGCGAACAACGAUCCCAACUCCGCUAGGCGGGGGUAUGUCUCGGUGUUCUUGUCAUCUUAGUAGCAACGGGGCUCCACAUGCCAGGUGGAUCCUCUGCUGCGUUCUGGUUGGAGCAUGCUAUGGUCUAUGGGCACAUCUGAACAGACCAAGUGAUAAUGUUGACCGUGGGAAACGAUGGUCACACGAUGAGAACUUUGAGGACUGGUCAUGAGACCCCAGAAACCCAUACAAAACCAACGCUUGGUGCCGGUCACUGUGGGAGCGCGCACACAGGAGGGAUGUUAUCUGUGUUUCCAAAAACUCCCCUUGCUCCACACAAGUUCACUUGGAGGCCAGAGCAAUGAAUGUCACUGAAGCGAAAUGUAUGGCAUUCAUGGGAGGAGUUUGAUAUCAACACCGUACUGUCAGUCAGUGACGCUACCCCUACCGCCCUGGACUCGCAGGAAUGAAUCUGUGAUCAAACUAUUUUGGAUUAAUCCCAAUGUGACUGUUGGAGGACGACAGAUGCCACAAGUGGCCUAAACCAGGACGCUACCUGGAAUGGACUACACGUGUUUCAUCCAAGAAAACAAGACCCACGGAUGCAUUCACGACAACUGCUCUCCAGGAGGGAACUGGAUGGGAGCUUUGGACAUCACCGCUGUGUGCCAGGAUGGGAGAGCCAUUUCAAGGUGUAAGGGCUCUCCUGCCAACAUGGCUGUACCAUUGGACGGGUCCUACUUCAUUCGGAACGGAUCGUGGCUUUAUUUAUAUUUUCUUAUUGAUAGCAUUAUGGUCGCCUAAGGCAGAGGGACCGUGUGAGACUUUUCCUGCGAUUUAACAUCGGCCAGCAGGUUUUUAGACCACACAAUAAGUUUGGACUGGAGUAUUGAGGAAAAACCUCAUCUUCACUGGAAGUUGUUGCUAUCAUUGUUUGUUGUUUUUGUCGUGUUUCACCCUGCACGCUCCCCAACCCGUCCGCUGUCGUCUCCGUUUUUUAUUGAUCUUUUUUAUUAUAGUUUUUUGCUAUUCUUCUUUAUAUUUACUUACUUACUUAUGUUUGAUUGAUCGGGUUCACAUAAUCAUAUGAUAAAACAGGAGGGAGAUGUCAGGGUUUUCCAAACUAUCUUGAUCUAUGAUUAUGUUGGAAUGUAUAUAACCGGUAAUAAAUAACUUAGGUAGAUUAGUUUUAUGCUUACGUUGGUAUGUAACCGGUAAUAAACCACCUAACUCUGUCCCAUCCUAAAUAAUGUCGUAAAACAUCACCUGCUCUGUUUACCUAGAGGUCAAGAGCUUUAACUUGUUUAUUCAGUCUACUGUCACCCCCACCCUUUUCCUCUUAAUAAAGAUGCUCUUGUGGGAAGGGAGAGUUAGACUUCAUUCGACCAUCGCUGUGACAACAGCGACGAGUGAACUCUCCACCUGCAGGUGCCCAAAACGACUAACUUGUCUCCGAG